rnacentral:ribozyme from 1 species
AACGUGCUUGGCCAAAGUGAAACCUAAACAUAAAGAGAGAAAACAAGUAGUGGUUCUUUGUCCAAAGGGUGGAAACUAAAGUUUCCUGUUUUUUUGUGUUUGUUUUUCAUUGUUGCUUGUGAUUUUUUUCAGUGGCAAACCAACAAAAAGAAGAAAGA